rnacentral:rRNA from 1 species
CCCUCAGUGCUGAAGUUAACACAUUAAGCACUCCGCCUGGGGAGUACGACCGCAAGGUUGAAACUCAAAGGAAUUGACGGGGGCCCGCACAAGCAGUGGAGCAUGUGGUUUAAUUCGAAGCAACGCGAAGAACCUUACCAGGUCUUGACAUCCUCUGACCACUCUAGAGAUAGAGCUUUCCCCUUCGGGGGACAGAGUGACAGGUGGUGCAUGGUUGUCGUCAGCUCGUGUCGUGAGAUGUUGGGUUAAGUCCCGCAACGAGCGCAACCCUUGACCUUAGUUGCCAGCAUUCAGUUGGGCACUCUAAGGUGACUGCCGGUGACAAACCGGAGGAAGGUGGGGACGACGUCAAAUCAUCAUGCCCCUUAUGACCUGGGCUACACACGUGCUACAAUGGGUGGUACAAAGGGUUGCGAAGCCGCGAGGCCAAGCCAAUCCCAAAAAGCCACUCUCAGUUCGGAUUGUAGGC